UAAGGAAUAUUGCUCAAUGGGAGAAAUCCUGAAGCAGCAACGCCGCGUGGAGGAUGAAGGGUCUAUGACUUGUAAACUCCUGUAAAGAAGGAAAAAAUUCCCAUUUGAUGGGAGAUGAUGGUACUUCUGGAGUAAGCCCCGGCUAACUACGUGCCAGCAGCCGCGGUAAUACGUAGGGGGCAAGCGUUGUCCGGAUUUACUGGGUGUAAAGGGUGCUCAGGCGGAUUUGUAAGUCAGAGGUGAAAUCUUACAGCUUAACUGUGAAACUGCCUUUGAUACUGCAAUCCUAAAGUAUGGAAGAGGGUGAUGGAAUAGCUGGUGUAGCAGUGAAAUGCGUAGAUAUCAGAUACAACAACAAUGGCGAAGGCAGUCACUUGGUCCAUUACUGACGCUAAAGCACGAAAGCGUGGGUAGCAAACA
rnacentral:rRNA from 1 species